rnacentral:tmRNA from 1 species
GGGGGCGUCACGGCUUCGACGCGUUUGGUGAAUAUAGAGUAGCGUGCCGAGGUUCCUGGGUCCUCGUAAAACCCCNUGGAAAACCUUAAUUGCCAACAAUGANCUGGCAUUGGCUGCGUAACUUCGGUUCGUAGUCCGUUUCCUGAUCUGCCUGCCCGAGGCGGGUCUCCGAGACGUCGAUGAGUCGGGCUGGUNUCUGGNNGGUGCUGCCCUGGUCAGGGAUGAGAUGUUCAGGUAGCUAGUUUGGGGACCGGUUGCUCGCUCNCCGCCCCGGGCGAAAUACUGAGUGACGCUACGCACGUAGAGGCUNUGUAGGAUCCAUUUGCGGACGCGGGUUCNACUCCCGCCGCCUCCAUCA